rnacentral:lncRNA from 1 species
CGUUAUCAUCAUCUUAUGCAAGUUUUAAGAGAUGGUUGCAGUGUAAACUGUUAUGUAGUCUGGUUAGGAAAUUUCCAAAGUAAUACGUACUAAAUCAUUAGAAAAAGGCUUGAAAUGUAAAUUUGGUUUUAAAGUGAUUGGUAGUUACAUCCAUGGCUGUUUGUAAAAAGGAAAUGGAGUUAAUAAAAUGCAUAUUUUAUAUUUAGGAAACAUUGUGGCUUAUAAUGAGUCUUUAUAUAAAAUUGAAACCACUGUGUUAUCAAACAGGAAGCAGUUUACCAAAUAUAGUAAGCUCUCAGAAGUAAACUGGCAUCAAUUUCAAUUUCUUUU